GACGAACGCUGGCGGCGUGCCUAACACAUGCAAGUCGAACGGGGUUAAGAGAGCUUGCUUUCUUAACUUAGUGGCGAACGGGUGAGUAACGCGUGAGAAACCUGCCUCUCAGUGGGGGACAACAGUUGGAAACGACUGCUAAUACCGCAUAACACUUUAGUACCGCAUGGUACAGAAGUCAAAGCUUUAUGUGCUGAGAGAUGGUCUCGCGUCUGAUUAGCUAGAUGGCGGGGUAACGGCCCACCAUGGCGACGAUCAGUAGCCGGUCUGAGAGGAUGAACGGCCACAUUGGGACUGAGAUACGGCCCAGACUCCUACGGGAGACAGCAGUUAGGAAUAUUCGUCAAUGGGGGAAACCCUGAACGAGCAAUGCCGCGUGAAGGAUGACGGUCCUAUGGAUUGUAAACUUCUGUUGUUAGGGAAGAACGACUAGUGUAGGAAAUGACACUAGAGUGACGGUACCUUUCAAGAAAGCUCGGCUAACUACGUGCCAGCAGCCG
rnacentral:rRNA from 1 species